GACGAACGCUGGCGGCGUGCUUAACACAUGCAAGUCGAGCGGUAAGGCCCUUUCGGGGGUACACGAGCGGCGAACGGGUGAGUAACACGUGGGUGACCUGCCUUCAGCUCUGGGAUAAGCCUGGGAAACUGGGUCUAAUACUGGAUAUUACUCUGCGGUGCAUGCCGUGGGGUGGAAAGCCCUGUGCGGCUGGGGAUGGGCCCGCGGCCUAUCAGCUUGUUGGUGGGGUGAUGGCCUACCAAGGCGACGACGGGUAGCCGGCCUGAGAGGGCGACCGGCCACACUGGGACUGAGACACGGCCCAGACUCCUACGGGAGGCAGCAGUGGGGAAUCUUGCGCAAUGGGCGAAAGCCUGACGCAGCGACGCCGCGUGAGGGAUGACGGCC
rnacentral:rRNA from 1 species